CCAAAACUUAGCUGCUCCAGUUCAGGCUGGUUGCACGCUUCAACCCUUUGUGAACCAAAAACCUUUACGCUUCGGCAGCUGGUUUCAGCUGUAAGCCUGCCGAUGGCACCCAUUUAAACCUGUCGUUAAAUACUUGUCUGAACUAAAUAUUUUCGAAUGAAAAUUA
rnacentral:misc_RNA from 1 species